rnacentral:rRNA from 1 species
AGUGAACGCUGGCGGUAGGCCUAACACAUGCAAGUCGAACGGCAGCACAGUAAGAGCUUGCUCUUACGGGUGGCGAGUGGCGGACGGGUGAGGAAUACAUCGGAAUCUACUUUUUCGUGGGGGAUAACGUAGGGAAACUUACGCUAAUACCGCAUACGACCUACGGGUGAAAGCAGGGGAUCUUCGGACCUUGCGCGAUUGAAUGAGCCGAUGUCGGAUUAGCUAGUUGGCGGGGUAAAGGCCCACCAAGGCGACGAUCCGUAGCUGGUCUGAGAGGAUGAUCAGCCACCCUGGAACUGAGACACGGUCCAGACUCCUACGGGGGGCAGCAGUGGGGAAUAUUGGACAAUGGGCGCAAGCCUGAUCCAGCCAUGCCGCGUGGGUGAAGAAGGCCGUCGGGUUGUAAAGCCCUUUUGUUGGGAAAGAAAAGCAGCAGGUUAAUACCCCGCUGUUCUGACGGUACCCAAGAAUAAGCACCGGCUAACUUCGUG